UUCCCUACGGGAGGCAGCAGUGGGGAAUAUUGCACAAUGGGGGAAACCCUGAUGCAGCGACGCCGCGUGAGUGAAGAAGUAUUUCGGUAUGUAAAGCUCUAUCAGCAGGGAAGAAAAUGACGGUACCUGACUAAGAAGCCCCGGCUAACUACGUGCCAGCAGCCGCGGUAAUACGUGGGGGGCAAGCGUUAUCCGGAAUUACUGGGUGUAAAGGGUGCGUAGGCGGCACGCCAAGUCAGUUGUGAAACCCGUAGGCUCAACCUACGGCUUGCAAUUGAAACUGGCGAGCUAGAGUACAGGAGAGG
rnacentral:rRNA from 1 species